rnacentral:rRNA from 1 species
UAAUGUAGCGUAAUCAAUAGCCAAUUAAUUGUUGGCCGGUAUGAAUGGCAUCACGAAGGCCCCACUGUCUUAAGAGGACUCUCCAUGAAAUUGAAUUCGUAGUGAAGAUGCUACGUCCAUAUUGUAAGACGAAAAGACCCCAUUGAGCUUUACUAAAGACUUGUAUGGCUCGAAAUGACUUAAAUAAAAAGUUUAGAUAAUGUGGGAUCCGUUUUUGGUUAAUGAAACACCACUCUUUUAUUUUAAGAGAGCUAACCUUGUAGGGAGAAUGCAAGUUGGAUAGUUUGGUUGGGGCGACCACCUUUUAAAAGGUAACGAAGGUGAGCUUAAGGUCCGUAGUUAAUAGCUAGUGGCCUGACUGCAAGGGGGACAUCCCGAGCAGACACUGGUAAUCUCUCAGUGGGUUAUAGUGACCCGUCAUCUUAGAGUGGAAUAGUUGACGAUCAACGAAUAAA